rnacentral:rRNA from 1 species
AUGAACGCUAGCUACAGGCUUAACACAUGCAAGUCGAGGGGCAGCAUGGUCUUAGCUUGCUAAGGCCGAUGGCGACCGGCGCACGGGUGAGUAACACGUAUCCAACCUGCCGUCUACUCUUGGACAGCCUUCUGAAAGGAAGAUUAAUACAAGAUGGCAUCAUGAGUCCGCAUGUUCACAUGAUUAAAGGUAUUCCGGUAGACGAUGGGGAUGCGUUCCAUUAGAUAGUAGGCGGGGUAACGGCCCACCUAGUCUUCGAUGGAUAGGGGUUCUGAGAGGAAGGUCCCCCACAUUGGAACUGAGACACGGUCCAAACUCCUACGGGAGGCAGCAGUGAGGAAUAUUGGUCAAUGGGCGAGAGCCUGAACCAGCCAAGUAGCGUGAAGGAUGACUGCCCUAUGGGUUGUAAACUUCUUUUAUAAAGGAAUAAAGUCGGGUAUGGAUACCCGUUUGCAUGUACUUUAUGAAUAAGGAUCGGCUAACUCCGUGCCAGCAGCCGCGGUAAUACGGAGGAUCCGAGCGUUAUCCGGAUUUAUUGGGUUUAAAGGGAGCGUAGAUGGAUGUUUAAGUCAGUUGUGAAAGUUUGCGGCUCAACCGUAAAAUUGCAGUUGAUACUGGAUAUCUUGAGUGCAGUUGAGGCAGGCGGAAUUCGUGGUGUAGCGGUGAAAUGCUUAGAUAUCACGAAGAACUCCGAUUGCGAAGGCAGCCUGCUAAGCUGCAACUGACAUUGAGGCUCGAAAGUGUGGGUAUCAAACAGGAUUAGAUACCCUGGUAGUCCACACGGUAAACGAUGAAUACUCGCUGUUUGCGAUAUACGGCAAGCGGCCAAGCGAAAGCGUUAAGUAUUCCACCUGGGGAGUACGCCGGCAACGGUGAAACUCAAGGGAAUUGACGGGGGCCCGCACAAGCGGAGGAACAUGUGGUUUAAUUCGAUGAUACGCGAGGAACCUUACCCGGGCUUAAAUUGCAGAUGAAUUACGGUGAAAGCCGUAAGCCGCAAGGCAUCUGUGAAGGUGCUGCAUGGUUGUCGUCAGCUCGUGCCGUGAGGUGUCGGCUUAAGUGCCAUAACGAGCGCAACCCUUGUUGUCAGUUACUAACAGGUUCUGCUGAGGACUCUGACAAGACUGCCAUCGUAAGAUGUGAGGAAGGUGGGGAUGACGUCAAAUCAGCACGGCCCUUACGUCCGGGGCUACACACGUGUUACAAUGGGGGGUACAGAGGGCCGCUACCACGCGAGUGGAUGCCAAUCCCCAAAACCUCUCUCAGUUCGGACUGGAGUCUGCAACCCGACUCCACGAAGCUGGAUUCGCUAGUAAUCGCGCAUCAGCCACGGCGCGGUGAAUACGUUCCCGGGCCUUGUACACACCGCCCGUCAAGCCAUGGGAGCCGGGGGUACCUGAAGUGCGUAACCGCGAGGAGCGCCCUAGGGUAAAACUGGUGACUGGGGCU